AAACUUAAGAGUUUGAUCCUGGCUCAGAUUGAACGCUGGCGGCAUGCUUUACACAUGCAAGUCGAACGGCAGCACAAACUUCGGUUUGGUGGCGAGUGGCGAACGGGUGAGUAAUGCAUCGGAACGUGUCCUGAAGUGGGGGAUAACGCAUCGAAAGAUGCGCUAAUACCGCAUAAUCUCUGAGGAGAAAAGUGGGGGAUCGAAAGACCUCAUGCUUUUGGAGCGGCCGAUGUCUGAUUAGCUAGUUGGUAGGGUAAUGGCCUACCAAGGCGACGAUCAGUAGUUGGUCUGAGAGGAUGGCCAGCCACACUGGGACUGAGACACGGCCCAGACUCCUACGGGAGGCAGCAGUGGGGAAUUUUGGACAAUGUUCAGAUUGCCCUGAACACCGCAGCCGUCGUGCGCGGCACCUUCGGCAUUCCGCUUAUCGCUUCGCCGCAUG
rnacentral:rRNA from 1 species